GCUGUUUGUUGUAGUUUAGCUGUCUAUUGUACUCCCUGCAUGCUUCAUGAUUAAAGUCAUGGCUGCGGUACUGGUAGUUCGCUCCAUUGAACGGUUCAUCCUGCCAGAUAAAUAUCACAGAAAUGGGUCGCCUAGGCUCUAGAUCCUAUAGCCCUGCCCCUAGGUCCUAUAGCCCUGCCCCUAGGUCCUAUAGCCCUGCCCCUAGGUCCUAUAGCCCUGCCCCUAGGUCCUAUAGCCCUGCCCCUAGGUCCUAUAGCCCUGCCCCUAGGUCCUAUAGCCCUGCCCCUAGGUCCUAUAGCCCUGCCCCUAGAUCCUAUAGCCCUGCCCCUAGAUCCUAUAGCCCUGCCCCUAGAUCCUAUAGCCCUGCCCCUAGAUCCUAUAGCCCUGCCCCUAGAUCCUAUAGCCCUGCCCCUAGAUCCUAUAGCCCUGCCCCUAGAUCCUAUAGCCCUGCCUCUAGAUCCUAUAGCCCUGCCUCUAGAUCCUAUAGCCCUGCCUCUAGAUCCUAUAGCCCUGCCUCUAGAUCCUAUAGCCCUGCCUCUAGGUCCUAUAGCCCUGCCCCUAGGUCCUAUAGCCCUGCCCCUAGAUCCUAUAGCCCUGCCCCUAGAUCCUAUAGCCCUGACCCUAGAUCCUAUAGCCCUGCCUCUAGGUCCUAUAGCCCUGCCUCUAGGUCCUAUAGCCCUGCCCCUAGGUCCUAUAGCCCUGCCCCUAGGUCCUAUAGCCCUGCCCCUAGGUCCUAUAGCCCUGCCCCUAGGUCCUAUAGCCCUGCCCCUAUAUUAUCCUGUAGGUUAUAUACCAAUGUCUCUAGAUUAUUUUCACCUGCCUCUAGA